AAAAAUUUUAACAUAUUGCCACAGCCUAACGCCGCUGUAUAUAUUCCAAGAACGAAAGCUAUAUUGUGUCUCCCACUUCACCAAACGCUUCGACUUCUACUUGGCUUGUGAGAAGUGGAAAAACAGAAAAGUCAUGGCAUCUAUCACCCACAUUCUUAUGCUUGCUGUUCUUAUUUUGGCAAUGAUGCUCCAUGCUACAAAUCAAGUGCAUGGCGCCUUCCGGCUUCCGCGUGCUGCAUCUGACGCUACUGGAUCGCGUUCGCAUGAUCGCUCGGAUGAUGCGCAAG